CCUGGUGCAAAAGUGGCCCACCAGUGUCUGGCAUUCCACUGUGGUUACCCUGCGUACUGUCCCAAGGCCUACCCACCCCUCUGGGAGUUGAGAGGAAGCUGCUGGGCCUCAGCCCAGUGUCCUGCAUCCAGGAUAAUGUUUAUUUCUCAGUGGGGACAGAAUGGUUCCUGCUACCUGCUGGGCACCAGGCCAGGUUGUGCCUUUAACGCUCUGGAGAGCAGUGCAGACUCUGCCUCAGGCUGAUUCUGCCCUGAAUUGUUCAACCUGGAAGAGGUUCUGGGGCUGCUGAGACAACUUCAACUCAGAUUCAGGAGGCAGAAACAGAAAGAUAACCUCAAGUAUGAGGCCAAGGCGGGUGAGGAGUUCAGAGUCAUCCUUGACCACAUGUUGUAUCCAAGGCCAGCCUGGGCAUCAGGAGAUCCUGUCUCCAGAAACAUUCAGUGAUGGGUUGGCAAGGUGGCUCGCUGGGCAUAGGCAUUUGCUGCUAAGCUUGGCAACCUGAAUUCAGUCCCUGGGAGCCACGUGGCGAAGGAAGAAGCCGACUCCUGAAAGCUGUUUACUGGCCUCCACACACAUGAGCACAUCCAAAUAAACGUGAUUUUGAAAUUUA